rnacentral:rRNA from 1 species
GACGAACGCUGGCGGCGUGCCUAAUACAUGCAAGUCGAACGCUUCUUUUUCCACCGGAGCUUGCUCCACCGGAAAAAGAGGAGUGGCGAACGGGUGAGUAACACGUGGGUAACCUGCCCAUCAGAAGGGGAUAACACUUGGAAACAGGUGCUAAUACCGUAUAACAAUCAAAACCGCAUGGUUUUGAUUUGAAAGGCGCUUUCGGGUGUCGCUGAUGGAUGGACCGCGGUGCAUUAGCUAGUUGGUGAGGUAACGGCUCACCAAGGCCACGAUGGAUAGCCGACCUGGAAGGGUGAUCGGCCACAUUGGGACUGAGACACGGCCCAAACGCCUACGGGAGGCAGCAGUAGGGAAUCUUCGGCAAUGGACGAAAGUCUGACCGAGCAACGCCGCGUGAGUGAAGAAGGUUUUCGGAUCGUAAAACUCUGUUGUUAGAGAAGAACAAGGAUGAGAGUAACUGUUCAGCCCUUGACGGUAUCUAACCAGAAAGCCACGGCUAACUACGUGCCAGCAGCCGCCGUAA